rnacentral:rRNA from 1 species
AUGGAGGUGGGCGACCUGCACAAGAUGUGGGAGAUCCGGGCGCUCAAGCGGAAGCCCGAGGAGCCGACGGCCCACGCGCUCCUCGACCGCGUCGCCAAGAAGGUCCAGCCAUCAUGCGCCGCCGCAAGUGGCGCAUCAAGGUCCUCUCCGAGUUCUCAACCCGAGGCUGCUGGGGCUCAACGUCAACUGAGGCAUCGAGGUGAAGCCGUGAAGCUGCGGCUCUGGCGUGACGGCCGGGACCUCGACUUCAUCCCUUACGAGGAGGUGCUCGACACCAUGCUUCACAAGAUCGCGCACAACGCGCGCAGGCCCCACAACGCGCAGUUCUACAAGCUCUGGGACGAGCUCCGCAAGCCGCAGGAUGUGGUUAUACUUCUAGCUAGACAGUUAAUUGAGUAUUGGCAGCAUGGUCUAGCAUCUUUGAGGUUGCUGAGUUUAGCCCUCUGGUACAACAAGGACAAGGAAUUUAUAAAUGUUUAG